CGCCACCAGCUAGCCCGCCAAACACACAAACCUUUUCCACUUUAAACUAAAACAUUCGACAAGCCAAGUAUCCGCGACAGAAAAGCACUCACCAGGCGCAAUAGCAAAAGUACCGCAAGGGACCACUGAAAAUAAAUGAAACAAUACUUAAGCACAACACAGCAAGGAUAAACCCCUGUACCUUUUGCAUCAUGGUUUAGCAAGCAACAACAGGUAUAGAGCCCUACAACCUGUAACCCCGAAGCCAGACGAGCUACCCCACAGCAACCCUAAGGAGUGAACCCGUCUCUGUAGCAAAAGAGUGGGAAGACUGUAAGGUAGAGGUGAAACGCCUACCGAGCCUGGCGAUAGCUGGUUGCCCAUAAAAUGAAUUUAAGUUCAACUGCAGGCUAGACUAAACUACAUAAAACACACCACCGAUACACCUGCAAGAUAUACAAUAAGGGUACAGCCUUAUUGUAACUGAAUACAAUCAAAAUUAGAGGGAUACUACAUCCAACAACACCAGUAGGCCCCAAAGCCGCCACCAAAAAAAAUCGCGUCACAGCAUAAAAACCCAAAAAUCCAAAACAGACACCCCACCCCCUAUAACAAAUUGAGCCACUUUAACUAAACUUAAAGGAAACACUACUAAAACUAGUAAUAAGAAUAAUUUCUCUGCCGCACACCUUCAACUCAGAAUUAGAUAAUCUACUGAAAACUAACAGCCCAUUAACCCUGGACAAAACACCCACACCAAGACACCUGUUUUAAUAAAACUGUUACACCAACACAGGCGUGCCAAAAAGACCGAUUAAAAGCCAUAAAAGGAACUCAGCUAAUAUGCCCCAACUGUUUACCAAAAACAUAGCCUUUAGCUUACCACAAGUAUUAAAGGUACUGCCUGCCCGGUGACAUUCUUUAACGGCCGCGGUAUCCUAACCGUGCAAAGGUAGCGUAAUCAUUUGUCCUCUAAAUAGGGACUAGUAUGAAUGGUUAAAUGAGGGCCUAACUGUCUCCUGUGGUUAAUCAAUGAACCUGAUCUUCCCGUACAAAAGCUGGGAUAAAUACAUAAGACGAGAAGACCCUGUGGAGCUUAAAACAACACCAUUA
rnacentral:rRNA from 1 species